CAUAGCUUCAAUUGGCUUCAAAGAGAAGGGGGAGUCACCAUAGAAAAGACCAAUCGACCAUGAACCCUCAUUGUCCUCCUGACACCCGACCGAGUUCAACCCAACAACCGAACCAGCACUCACAUAAGACUUAUUAAACAUAAGCCAACCAAACAGCAUGCCAAUCGAUCCAUACAAAACCAAGCAGCAUAAGAAGAACAUCAAACCGGACGAGAAAAAUCUGUGGUGAAGAAAGUGCUGUU
rnacentral:misc_RNA from 1 species